rnacentral:rRNA from 1 species
UACGUAGGUGGCAAGCGUUGUCCGGAUUUACUGGGCGUAAAGAGCGCGCAGGCGGCUGGUCAAGUCCGAUGUGAAAUCUCCCGGCUCAACUGGGAAACUGCAUCGGAAACUGAUCGGCUUGAAGGUGGGAGAGGGUAGUGGAAUUCCCGGUGUAGUGGUGAAAUGCGUAGAUAUCGGGAGGAACACCAGUGGCGAAGGCGACUACCUGGCCCACUCUUGACGCUGAGGCGCGAAAGCUAGGGGAGCGAACGGG